UGGCUCAGAUUGAACGCUGGCGGCAGGCUUAACACAUGCAAGUCGAGCGGUAACAGGGGAGCUUGCUCCUGCUGACGAGCGGCGGACGGGUGAGUAACGCGUAGGAAUCUGCCUAGUAGAGGGGGACAACAUGUGGAAACGCAUGCUAAUACCGCAUACGCCCUAAGGGGGAAAGGAGGGGACUCUUCGGAGCCUUCCGCUAUUAGAUGAGCCUGCGUGAGAUUAGCUAGUUGGUAGGGUAAAGGCCUACCAAGGCGACGAUCUCUAACUGGUCUGAGAGGAUGACCAGUCACACUGGGACUGAGACACGGCCCAGACUCCUACGGGAGGCAGCAGUGGGGAAUAUUGGACAAUGGGCGCAAGCCUGAUCCAGCCAUGCCGCGUGUGUGAAGAAGGCCUUAGGGUUGUAAAGCACUUUCAGGGGUGAGGAAGGGUGAUAGCUUAAUACGUUAUCAUCUUGACGUAGCCCCAGAAGAAGC
rnacentral:rRNA from 1 species